rnacentral:rRNA from 1 species
CCCAGCUUGCUGGGUGGAUUAGUGGCGAACGGGUGAGUAACACGUGACUAACCUGCCCUUAACUCUGGGAUAAGCCUGGGAAACUGGGUCUAAUACCGGAUAGGAGCGUCCACCGCAUGGUGGGUGUUGGAAAGAUUUAUCGGUUUUGGAUGGACUCGCGGCCUAUCAGCUUGUUGGUGAGGUAAUGGCUCACCAAGGCGACGACGGGUAGCCGGCCUGAGAGGGUGACCGGCCACACUGGGACUGAGACACGGCCCAGACUCCUACGGGAGGCAGCAGUGGGGAAUAUUGCACAAUGGGCGCAAGCCUGAUGCAGCGACGCCGCGUGAGGGAUGACGGCCUUCGGGUUGUAAACCUCUUUCAGUAGGGAAGAAGCGAAAGUGACGGUACCUGCAGAAGAAGCACCGGCUAACUACGUGCCAGCAGCCGCGGUAAUACGUAGGGUGCGAGCGUUAUCCGGAAUUAUUGGGCGUAAAGAGCUCGUAGGCGGUUUGUCGCGUCUGUCGUGAAAGUCCGGGGCUUAACCCCGGAUCUGCGGUGGGUACGGGCAGACUAGAGUGCAGUAGGGGAGACUGGAAUUCCUGGUGUAGCGGUGGAAUGCGCAGAUAUCAGGAGGAACACCGAUGGCGAAGGCAGGUCUCUGGGCUGUAACUGACGCUGAGGAGCGAAAGCAUGGGGAGCGAACAGGAUUAGAUACCCUGGUAGUCCAUGCCGUAAACGUUGGGCACUAGGUGUGGGGACCAUUCCACGGUUUCCGCGCCGCAGCUAACGCAUUAAGUGCCCCGCCUGGGGAGUACGGCCGCAAGGCUAAAACUCAAAGGAAUUGACGGGGGCCCGCACAAGCGGCGGAGCAUGCGGAUUAAUUCGAUGCAACGCGAAGAACCUUACCAAGGCUUGACAUGUUCUCGAUCGCCGUAGAGAUACGGUUUCCCCUUUGGGGCGGGUUCACAGGUGGUGCAUGGUUGUCGUCAGCUCGUGUCGUGAGAUGUUGGGUUAAGUCCCGCAACGAGCGCAACCCUCGUUCCAUGUUGCCAGCACGUAAUGGUGGGGACUCAUGGGAGACUGCCGGGGUCAACUCGGAGGAAGGUGAGGACGACGUCAAAUCAUCAUGCCCCUUAUGUCUUGGGCUUCACGCAUGCUACAAUGGCCGGUACAAUGGGUUGCGAUACUGUGAGGUGGAGCUAAUCCCAAAAAGCCGGUCUCAGUUCGGAUUGGGGUCUGCAACUCGACCCCAUGAAGUCGGAGUCGCUAGUAAUCGCAGAUCAGCAACGCUGCGGUGAAUACGUUCCCGGGCCUU